UGGGGAAUAUUGCACAAUGGGCGAAAGCCUGAUGCAGCGACGCCGCGUGAGGGAUGACGGCCUUCGGGUUGUAAACCUCUUUCAGCAGGGAAGAAGCGAAAGUGACGGUACCUGCAGAAGAAGCGCCGGCUAACUACGUGCCAGCAGCCGCGGUAAUACGUAGGGCGCAAGCGUUGUCCGGAAUUAUUGGGCGUAAAGAGCUCGUAGGCGGUUAGUCGCGUCUGCUGUGAAAACUCGAGGCUCAACCUCGGGCUUGCAGUGGGUACGGGCUGACUAGAGUGCGGUAGGGGUGACUGGAAUUCCUGGUGUAGCGGUGGAAUGCGCAGAUAUCAGGAGGAACACCGAUGGCGAAGGCAGGUCACUGGGCCGCAACUGACGCUGAGGAGCGAAAGCAUGGGGAGCGAACAGGAUUAGAUACCCUGGUAGUCCAUGCCGUAAACGUUGGGCACUAGGUGUGGGGUCCAUUCCACGGAUUCCGUGCCGCAGCAACGCAUUAAGUGCCCCGCCUGGGGAGUACGGCCGCAAGGCUAAACUCAAAUGAAUUGACGGGGUCAUAGCUGUUUCC
rnacentral:rRNA from 1 species